rnacentral:lncRNA from 1 species
CUGUCUGGUAAUGGGCCAUUCAGAGCUGUGCGGAGUUUGUUACGGAGAGUAGUGGCAUCAGAGGUCGUUCAGGGCCACAUGGAGCUUGUUGUGGAGAGUGGAGUGGUGUCCGUUGUCGUGACUUGUCAGAGAGCGGUGGAGCUGCGUCGAAUCUGUUGCAGAGAGUGGAGCAGGAUGGCGGUUCUUAUCGUGGCUUGCCAG